rnacentral:lncRNA from 1 species
AUUCUCCUUUUCUAUAUUACAUGUUGUUAAUGCUAAGAUAUGUACAUUGCAGUGUCUUUGCAAAUUUAUUUUCAAUCUUUUUAUAAUUGUGUUUCUUUUUUCUGUGAAAGCAGUCAUGUUUAGAAGGUAAAGUAAAAGAAAUGUAUAUCUGUGUGCCAAUAUAGAUGUAUACUUAUGUGCAUAUAUAGUACAUAUAAUCCAUACAUAAAAUAUAUAAACUUUUAUAUAUACGUGUAUGUGAUUAUAUAUUUAUACACAUGUAUAUGUGUUUGUGACUCAUGCUCAUUUUGCCUAAUGAAAGGCUAAGGAUGUACUUUUACUCACACAUUCUUGUUUUGUCUUCUUUGAAGUUUAUUAAGCUCUCCUGAAAGAUGUGAAGUUCAUUAGGUUGUUAUUAUCAUGACCACAAAUUAAAUAUCUGUUCCCUGGGGAGUCAUAAGCUUCAAGAAUAAGCUAUACUUACUAUAAUAUUUACUUAAUUACUAACAUACUGCUUCUUGUUCUUAAUAUAAAAUCAUAGCACACCUAUAAAGGUCUAUUCAGAUAUGUUCCGAAUUUAAUGAUAUACUUGUUUAAUUAUUAACAUCCUAUUGGACCUUCUCGAAUUUACAAGUUAUAUAUAGAGCAGACAGUUACAAAAGCAAGACAUGUUUUAAGCAUUUAUGGUAAGGUUUUGCGCUAGAACGUCUAAAUAUCAUAAUUCUGU